AAACUAAAUUUUCUUGUUGGCAUAAAACUCUUAAAUAACUUAAACUACUUAAUAAUUAUUAAAAAUUAAAAAUAAUAAAUUAAUAAGAGCUAAUAAAUACAAUAUUCGGCUCAUAUAUAAUAAAAAUUAAGCCAAAAACCCGAGCCCGAUAUGAUUUACACUAGAAUUAAAAGCCCAAAACUCGUAAUUACCGUCAUAAUCCAUCAAAAAUUCUACUCGUGCAAUCUUUAAUAAAAUAGUCAUAACUUGAGCUUGCAAACUCAAAAUAAAGUGAUUCAAAGUGCUUUUUGAAGCUAAGAGAUAAAACUUUGAACUCUAUGAAGACAUCUCAACUCAAAAAUGCUCGUGUCCCUUCCAAAAAGUCAUCAUAGUUCAGCUGGUUUCCCAAACUUGAAAAUUGGUAGCUUCAGUGAAUGGAAUUUAAUAAAUUUCAUCCCAUCCGUGCAUAUAUCAUUCCCUCUUUCCUCGAAAAGAUUCAUCCUAGAAUAUUGUCUUUGAUCAAAUCCUAGUUUGGUUUGCUUGACCUUUGACAUUACUGCUGGGCCUUGAGGUAGUGUGAGCCCAUCACAUCCAUAGGUCUGAAAUUGGGCUUUAAGACUCACAUCAUUCCCCCUUCCUCACGAAGAUUCGUCCCUGAAUCUUUAACUGUACAAAAAGAAAAAGGAUUAGAAUAAAUAAAUAUAAAAUGAAAAAAAUACUUACCUAAGCUUUCUUGUGUGCCAAAGCUACCUCCGGGAUCAAAGACAUUAGUUUGAUCCUUCAAAUCAACUUUGAUUAUGUAUAUCUCCUUUAAAAACAAGGUAUCAACACUAAACAAAGAAGUGUUAGGUACAUGAGUCUUCAAGUAAAAAAUAAGUUGUAACUUUCUUUGAAUAUGCAUGGUUAUUCAUAAAAAUUUCCAUCGAUGAGUCAAGAAUUUCACAUAAUUAUAAUAAUCAAGAAGUUUAAUAUUAUUAUGUGAAAAUUCACCGUUAAAGGUCAAGAUAGAAAAUUUUGUUGCAAGAGAAAAUAUAUAAAAUGCUUUAAGAAAAACCUAUUUAAUGCAACAAAAUUACCAUUUUUAACAUUUACAAAUUUAGAUAAACACAUAAAAUCAGUUGAACUUUUAGGCCAAUGUUUAAUUAAAUUUGACGAAUGAGAAAACAUGUUGUAAGGAAAUAUUUUACAAACAAAAUCAGUAGCAUACUUAUCAAAAAAUUCAAGGUAUGCCUUCUUAAAUCAAUUUCUAUUGUUUCCUUACCUUUCUUACCUUGUAGCACUUGUGGAGAAUUAUCAAUAUUCAACUUACAUUUUUCCUACAAGUAAAAUUAUCUAUCGAUGGUAGAGUAAUAUAAUUAGAAGUCUGUUAAUGGAUCUUUGAAGUCUUGUAAUAAAGAAGCACCACUAAACAAGUUUGAGUUAGAGUUAGUUAAAACACAAUCAUUCUUAACUUUUAUAUAGGUAUUUUCUUGUUUUCCAUUUUCUUUUACCACUUGAAAACUCUCCAUUUUUACCUCAUAUGGAUUUUCACUCACCAAAUUUGGACCAUCAAUUAGACUUUUGUCACUCAAGGUUUUUUUUCUCUCCGUCUUUUCACAUGAUUCUUCCUCACUUCCCAUAUCCCCCUCACAAGUAUUAUAAAUAUUCAAUUCAGUACAAUACAUUACAAACCUAAAAACAGAAACAACUUUUGUAAGUUUGUAAGAGCUUAGUGAGCUAAAACUUAGAAUACCUUUUUCAUUCAUUCUAUGUUGCAUAUGAUAUUUUGCACAUCCUUGGGGUAUUUCUUGACCUUUCUUCCUUCUUUGGCGAGCAUAAUACUAAGGCUACCAUCUUUCUUUCUUUAGAACUGUUUCCCUCUUUCUUAGGCAUACUGUACUUAACAUCUCUUUACUUUCCAUCUCUUUUCUUAAAUCUUACCUUAUUAUCAGACUUAAUAACUUAUUCCAUACUUACUAGUCUUAUCAUUAUCUUCAGGCGGGGUAGACUACGUCCAAUACUUAUCUCAGAUUUUGCUAAAUAUUCCUUUCUUUAGUACACUUUCUAUUCUUACGCCUAACUCGUAUCUUUACUUUGCCACGUACUCUAGCACACACUAGCCUUUCUAUCCAUCCACUGUAACUAUACGAAUUUCACCAUUCGUUCGGUGUUUGCCCAAAGGCUUUGUCUUCAGAUGGUUAUCAUGAAUAUCAUUCUUCAGAUUUUGCCACGAAGGCGUUCCUUUUUAGCAUAGUUUGCCACCAGGCAUUCCUUUAAUAGCGAUAGCCACAAAGGCAUCAUUUUGACAAAUAUAGCCACAAAGGAAUCCUUUUGACAGAGAUCGCCACAAAGGUUUUCUUAUAACAUAGAUUGCCACAAAGGUUCACUUAUACGGUAAUUGAUAUUUUUUAUGAUAGGGAUUUGCCUAAAUUCACCAUCGUGAGGUUUACCCCUCAUCGCUGGUACUCGCCCAACUGUCCUUUACAUAUUCCAUAUGAUGCCAUGGCCUAGCCAUGAUCUUACACUAUAUGAUCUUUGGUCGUGUUUUUAGUCCUUACGGACCCCUUUAGACGACUCAUAAGACAGACACAUGCUUAUUAUGCAAACUCAUACUUGACAGACUUAUUCCUUUCAGACUUCUUCAUGACAGAUGCAUUCAUGUUUCUAGACAUGUAAGACAACUUCUUAAACUUCAUGCAUAGACCCCUCAUGCAGUAACUUGCUCACGACGGACACUUUCACAACAUACUUGCUCACAUUCUCAAUACACACAUAGACACACUUUACUCACUUAGACACUUUAACCAACCUCAGAAGUCAUAUCCAUAUUUCAUACGAAUCAUUCAUGUAAGUUCAUCAUUCAUUACCUUUCUCACAGAAUCAUCACAUCAUGCAUUCUUAGUUCAUUGUUACUAAAAGUACUAACAUUCAUAAUACAUUUGUGAGAGUCAGUUUAGGGGCUCGCCUUACAACCUAGAAGGUUGUCAAAAUUCAAAUCUAAUCCUUCUUUGUGAGAAUAAUAGAUUGAGUUAUAGAUCUUUCAUCCAACCAGAUAUUAUAGCCUCCUCGCCUCACCAAAUAGAGACACUUUGUUAGAGCUCAUUUGAGUAACCUUUCACCUCCACUUUAACUUAGACAUAUCACUAAACCUUACUUCUUCAAGUAUACUUACAGAUCUGUGUUUCUCUAACAGACAGAGUCAUGAAACGUACCUUGUUGGGAGGGAGCUUACUAUUAGAAAACAAGAGUUCCAAACUUGUCUUCUUGGAAGGUAUCCCCAAUCUACUUAGCCCUUCCAUCCUUAAGAAGGAAGAUAACCCCUUAAUUUAACCUGAGUGUCCUUUUAAUUUAACUCAAGUUUUCAUGGAGACUUGGUAAAGGUCAUGUCCAAAUUGAGUGGCUUAUCAAAAUCUUCCACAUCUAAAAGGCUUACCUAAUACUACUUUAGCCUUUGACUCUUACUAUUCAUAUUUGGUUAGUUCCCAACUAGCUUUCCUCACAAUUCAACUAGUAUAGGACCACAUUGGUCACUAAAGGUAUUAUGUCUUAUGGCGCGGCCUUAUACCUCAUAACCGUCAUUUAUCAUUUCACUUAUCUUCCUUAUCUAACUAGGAAAUCCUUGUCUACUUAUUUCCAUUUGGGCAAGUACUACUACUUAGUCAAAUAUUUCUCUCUAUAGUUCCUUAACCGUUCCUAUUACAGAGGGGUCGUAUUAAAAGAACAUUCUUGGUUUGCCUAUUCUAUACGCCAAAAUGGGCCUUUUUGGGCGAACACUUCUUUGCAUGUCAUUUUUCUAUAUAACUAUACGUGUAAUUCAAAGACUUAUACACUCUUACCAUUAUUUUUCAAAUCAUCGUACUUAACCAUAAAUUUCGCUCAUCUAUAAUACACCAGACCAAGGUGUUACAAACACACUUGAAAAGCAACUUAUACUUAAUCUAAUCCUAUCAUUAGACAACUUAAAACUAUCCUCUUAAACUUUAUUCCUAUUGACUAUAUUUCAAACUUUUAGGAGUUUUCCCAAAGGCGUACUCGUAAACUUCUAUUUCUUAAAUGAAUCCAUCACUUUGCUUAUUCAAAACUCCUUCCAAAAUUCUUACUUCUAAAACAACACUCGAAUAUGAGGGCAUCGCUGGGCAGGAUGUUACAAAAUAUGCCUAGAUCCCAUAAAAAAUUGGUUACAAUUCAACUGAUUUUCCAAACUUGAAAAUUGACAACUUUGAUAAAUGAAAUUUAAUAAAUUUUAUCUCAUCCGUGAAUGUAUCAAUUUACCUCCAAAUGAUUAUCACAUAAUAUUUCUAAAAUUUUAAAAAAUAAAAAAGAUGGAUGUAAAAAGAAGUUGAAUCAAAAGGAUGAAUUAUUUUAUGGCCCAUUCUCACCACAUCAUUCAUCCAAUUAAAAAGGACACAUCAUCUUUGGUUUAGAAGUUUAGUCCAAAUAUACAUAUAAUGUGGAAAAAAAGAUUAUAUGUCCUCUUUGAAUUGGACGGGACCAUAAAUGAUGUGGUGGAAAGGGUCCAUAAAAUAAUUUCUCAAUAAAAAGAGUGAAUCUAAAAAUUCAUAUUAUGAUGGUUGUAAGGCAGGAAGCAAAUUUUUUUGUUUAUUUUUAAUUAAAUUUACCAUAUUUUCUUAAUUUGUUUAUACUUCGAAACAUUAAUUUUAUUAAUAAUAUAUAUUAUCUUAGGUGGUCCCUACAAUAAGAUGAAAGGAAAUAAUGUUAUGGCAUACAAUUAUUGGAAUGGGAUACAAGAUGAUAUGGUAUCUCAAUUUUAUAGAUAUAUUUGGCUUAAAUAAUAAAUUUUUAUAUAUACAUAAUAAAAAUUACUAAUUUAAUUUUUCACUUUGAAAUUUUUAAAAUUCAAAUAUAUAUAAAUUACUAAUAAAAAGUAAAUAUAUAUUUGAUUUUUUUCUUUUUUAAUAUUUUUUUCUUUUUAUUAAUUAUUAAAUAAAUUUUAAUAUUUUUUUAUAAUUUCUAAUUUUUUUAGUUUUGAACUCAUCUAGAACCAAUUUGGACAACCAUAUGUCUGGAUUCAUUCAAGAUGUAUUUUUUAUUAAUUAUUAUUUUUAUAAUUUUCUUAAAAAAAAUGUUGUUGUGGCUUGCCACAUCAACAUCCUUUCACGUGGCAUGCAACAUGUCGUCUCUUGAUGGCUAUCGUUAGUCACACUUUUAAUGGUCAAUCCAAUCAACUAACGGUUUCCAUUAACAGAAGGGUCCAAUUGAUUAUUAUUUUUUAUCAUUAAUGACUCAAUAGAAUGCACUCUUUUUUAAGGGCUUAAUUGAUUUCUUUUUUCAUUUUUUACUAAGGGUUUAUUUUACCCUUAAGCCUUUCUUUUAUUAUAGGGAUAAAUCAACUUUACACUUAAAUUUUCAUUCAAUGUGCAAUUUGAUAUAUGAGCUUCAAUUUGGUGGCAAUUACACACAUGAAAUUUUAUUUGUUGUUCAUAUGAACUUAUAAAACUUUGAUUUUGAUAGGCAGAUUAUAACUUAAAAAUUAGAGAGUGCUCUCUUUUAGUUCUCCCAAAGAAACAGUAAGUACUGUGGUUGGGUAGGAGGCGAGUGGUGACUUUGGGAGUAUGGAAGGGGGGAUGAGAUAUCCUUUCUUGAAGAAGAACUGAUUCAAUUAACGGUGAAAAGUUCGUUAGUAGUUCCGUCUGAAAAUCCAACGUUGAUUUGUUCUAUCUAGACUAGGAAAACUUACAAUCCGAAUAGUCUGAGAGCACAAAAGAAGAGUAUAUGGAAAACCAAAAAGAAGUUCGAGAUUCAAGUUGCUGGACAAAAUUUAUUCAUGAUAAUGUUCGAAGCUGAAGAGGAUUUAGAGCAGAUUUUGGAAGGUUGCCCAUGGUUUUUUUGAAAACAAUUAAUUAUUUUUGAUUGGCUGUUACAAUCUAUCGAACGAAAUAAGAUCCACCUUAUCUUUUUGCCUUUCUGGCUAAAGAUUGACCCGUGUCCGCCAGAGUGUGAUAAAAAGGACUUGAUGCAUGCUGUUGGUUCCACUUUUGGGGGAGUAAUUCGAUCAGAAAUCAAAGGUGAGUUCUACCGGUUAAAAGUUAAUCUUUAGAUGUGCAAAGACCAUUGAGUAGAGGGAUUUUUGUCACAUCAGAUAAUCAGGGAAAAUUUUGGCUCUCUUUCAAAUAUGAGAAUCUUCUGACUUUCUGCUUUGGUUGUGGUCAUUUGGGUCAUAGGGUUAAGGACUAUAUGGCGAUCUCGUCUGAAGAUCAUAAAAAGGCGGAAGAUGAUCUUCCUUAUUCUUUGGUGCUUAAAGCUGAAUCAUCUUUAUUAAGAAGAAAAAGUUUAAAGUUUAGUUUCUCGACGAAAAAGACAACGAAUCAGUGUUAUUAUAUGGGUGAUGAAGCGAUGAGUAAAGAUGGUGGCUCUUCUACGGAGGUACCGAGAAAGGAUUAACAUAAGAAGAAGGAAGCAAGUUUGGAAAAGACACCUAUUUUUUUGGAAACAAAUAAUAUGCGGCAAAUUUCUGGGGAUUCAAUAGCUAAUUUAUCUCCAUAAAUUACGCUAUUGAUUUGAUGGAUAGAUUAGUCAAAAUCCAUGUGUUGAGGUGGAUAAUUUGGAAAGGGGAGAUAGGUUAGAGGGGUUUGACAGUUUAAUAGUGGUUUAAUUUUCUAGUUACAAAAAAAAUAGCUGGUGUUGGUUAGAUAAAAAAGAAAAGUUUGAUACGAGUAUGAUCAAUACGGUGAUGGAUAAACUGAAAAAUACUAAAGACUUGUUAGAGGAGACUGAAUUAUCUCUUUCUUUUGGGGAUGGAGUGAAAAUAUUAAAACUUGUUAAAUGGAACUUAGAGGUUUCUAUACAAUCAGAUUCUUUGAGGCUUACCUUGGAGCAUGAUUCUACUACUUUGCAAAUAGUAUCAGCGGCUGCCAGUUGGCAUGCCGACCAAAAACUGGCAGCCGACUGAAAAUAAUGAAGCUCUUAAGUUGGAAUGUCUAGGGACUAGGGAAUCCUCGGGCUAUUAGUAGGCUUUCAAAAUGGUCAUCUUUAUGGAGACAAAGCUGGAUUUUAUUAGAAUGGAGCGUGUUCAAAGGCGUUGUGGCUUUCAAAAUGGGCUAGAUGUUUCAGCUAAUGGUUUUAGAGGAGGUCUAAGCCUUGCAUGGAAUGGGACUUAUUUGGUUCAAGUGUGUAGCUUCUCCAAUAAUCACAUUGAUGUAGAAAUAAGCGAGGGGGAUGACUCUCAAAAAUGGAGGUUUAUUGGUUUCUAUGGUAAUCCAAUGCCUGCACAUAUGCAAGAGUCGUGGAACUUACUUCGAUGAUUGUGAAACAAUUGUACUUUAUUUUGGUGUGUUUGUGGGGAUUUUAAUGAAAUUAUGUAUGCAUAUUAGAAGGUAGGAAGGGCAAUAAGGGAGGAAAGGCAAAUGGAGGAUUUUUGGAAAGCUCUAGCAGAUUGCAACUUGGUUGACAUGGGUUUCUUAGGAUCGAGGUUUACUUGGAGAAGGGGUAAUUUUGCGAAAAAGAACAUUAAGGAAAGAUUGGAUAAAGGAGUGGCGAAUAUGGAGUGGAUUAAUUUGUUUGCUGAUUUCUCGGUUCAACACCUCCCUCACUCUUUUUCUGACCAUUGCCCAAUUCUUAUUCAAACUGAGUUGAAUAUGAGGCGUUUUGGAAAAAAAAUUAGUUUAGAUUUGAGUCUUGGUGAGUUCUUGAGCCCUCAUGUGAAGAGGUAAUUAGGAAGUUAUAGGAUGAAAAGUCAGGGGACGUUUUGGAAAAAUUGGAGGAUACUCGUGUUGGGUUACAGAGGUGGGCGAAAAAUAUCUAGGGUAGGCGUGAAAGAAAAAAGCUGAACCUUUAGAAAAGAUUGGUUGAACUUGAUGGAAUGAAUAGGGAUGAUGACAUUUUAGCUGAAUUGAUUGAUGUGAAAUUGGAAUUAAAUUGGGAGUUGGAGAAGGAGGAAAUGUAUUGGAAACGGAGAGCCAGAGCUAACUGGAUGCAACAAAGGGAUAAAAAUACGGGUUUUUUUUUCAUAUCCAAGCAUCUCAAAGGCAUAGAUUGAAUAAAAUUCGGGGGCUAGAGAAUGAUAGAGGUGAUUUUAAAAUGAAAUAUGAAUAAAUGGAGGCUAUUGCAAGAGGUUACUUCUUGGGGCUCUUUUCGACGAAAGGUGUUAGGGAUACAAAUCAUCUUCUUUCAGGGGUCAAGUGUUGUAUCAAUGAUAGUAUGAACGAGAUGCUAACGGUUAGAUACAAGGAGGAAGAAAUUGUUGAUGCGCUUAAUAGUAUGGGGCCUACCAAAGCAUCAAGUCCUGAUGGGUUUCCAGAUAUCUUUUUUCAAAAAUUCUAGCACAUUGUUGGAAGGGAGAUAAGUAAUUAUUGUUUGGAGAUUCUUAAUGAGGGUAAGUCUUUACAAUCUUUGAAUCAUACAAAUAUUGUUUGAAAGGUCUUAUGGCACUCAAGCUUGAUAUGAGUAAGGCAUACGAUCGGGUUGAAUGAGAUUUUUCGAAGCAGAUGAUGAGUAAAAUGGGUUUUGCUGAUUCGUGGGUUGGUUUCAUCAUGCAAUGUAUUAGCACUGUUUCAUAUUCAAUCAUUCUAAACGGUAUCAUGGGGAAUGAUUUUAUCCCAGAGAGAGGUUUGCACCAAGGAGACCCCUUAAGCCCUUUCUUAUUUCUUAUUUGCAGUAAGGGGCUUUCAACUCUUAUUAGGCUUGCAAGCGAGGAAGGGAAUCUGAGAGAGGUUAGGGUGAGUAGAAGAGGGCCUCAGCUUUCUCAUCUUCUAUUUGCUGAUGAUUGUAUUUUGUUCGGGGAGGCAACUGAUAAGGACAUUAAUACCUUUGGAAAUAUUUUGAGAGAGUAUAAAGUCUGCUCAGAUCAAUGUGUUAACUAUGGAAAGUCGACAGUGUUUUUUGGCUCAAAUACUUUAGAGAAUGUUCAAAUUGCCAUUUCUAACAGGAUGGGGGUUCAACGGUCAAAUAACUUCAAAAAUAUUUAGGUUUGCCAAAUAUGGUGGGUAGAGGGAAACGUUUGGCUUUUCAACAUUUAAAGGACUGUAUCAGAAUGAAGAUUGACAAUUGGAGUACUCGUUUUCUAUCGUAAGGGGGAAAAGAGGUUCAUAAAAUCUGUGCUACAGGCGAUACCGACUUAUACGAUAACAUGCUUCCUAUUGCCGAAAUCUAUUUAUAGGGAGAUAGAGCAAAUAUUGGCAAACUUCUAGUGGCAAAAAGGUUAUGGGAGGCAUGGUAUUCACUAGUAUGAAUGGAAGAAACUUUACGAGUAGAAAGAGAGUGGUGCUCUCGGCUAUCGUUGUUUAGCAAAAUUCAAUUUGGCCCUACUCUCGAAGCAAGGUUGGAGAUUAUUUGUUAAUCCUAAUUCCCUUUUUAGCUCAAACUUUGAAAGUUAAAUACCAUCCAAAUUCUAAUUUCUUAGAUUCAAGGUUAAGAAAUAUACUUUCAUAUACUUGGAAAAGUAUAUGGACUACGAAAGGUCUUCUGUUGUCUGGACUUUGUUAGAGGGUGGGGACUGGCAAAGACAUCAAAAUUGAGGAUGAUGUUUGGGCUCCGGAAGCUGAGGGGUAUCAAGAUAAAACAAACUGUUAGCAAGCCAAAUAUCACUAGGGUUGCGGAUCUAAUUGACAGUGAUACUAGAUCAUGGAGAGUUGGACUGGUUCUUAAUACCUUUGUUGAUAAUGAUGCACGGAAGAUCUUGCGAAUACCUUUGGCCAAAUUUCUUCAUGAUGAUUUUAUGGUGUGGCAGGGUGAGUUGACGGGUGAGUUCACGGUGCGUAGUGGCUAUAAGUUACUUUUACAAGGUAAUUUCAAUAACCCAAAUAAUUACAACCUGAUUGACAAUACAAAAUGCUACAGGAAACUUUUGAGCUUAGAUCUUCCUUCUAAAAUAAAAAUUACAACAUGGAAAACUACUUUCAAUUAUCUUCCUACUCUAGUGAAUCUUCGAACAAAAAGAUUGACUACUGAGGCUAUUUGCCCAAGAUGCAUGCAAGGGUUGGAAAUAAGGGAACACAUUUUUCGUGAUUGUUCUGUUACAAAAGAGACAUGGAAAAAUUUAGAUUAUGUCUGUUCACAAGAAUUGUCACAAUUUGAGUUUAUGGAUUGGUUUACCUGGGUUUUGUUAAAUAGUACGGUGGAUGUUUGCCGAAUAUUUGUUUGUGCCAUUUGGGCUAUUUGGACCAACAGAAACCAAUGGGUUCAUGAGGGAAGAAAAAAAUUUGAAGCAAAGACAGUGGAGUUCAUUAAAUAGUAUAUUUAUGAAUUAAUAAAGCUUGAUAGGAAAAAUCUUGCCUUGAGCCAAGAUUCUGAUAGAUGGAGACCCCCGUAAUCAGGUUUCUAUAAAAAUAAUUUUAAUGCAACUUUUGAUACCAAGGAAAAUAAUCCUGCUCAGGAGUCUGUCAGAAAUUUUAAAGGUGAUAUUUUGGCUUCUAAGACGAUGAUUCACGAGAAUAUACCUUCAGUUUUUGCAGCAAAGGCCAUCACUUGUGUGCAGGCAGUUACUGUGGGUAGAGAUUGGGGGAUUACCCAUGCUGAGAUUGAAAGGGACUCUUUGAAGGUGAUCAAGAAAGCUUGAAAUACGGAGAGAGACAAAUUGACAAUAGGACUAUACAUUCAUGAUGUUAAAAAUCUGAGUGAGGGCGUUAAUGGCUGUAAGUUUCAACAUGCAAGACGAUUAGCAAACAAAUCUACUCAUUGUUUGGAAAUUGAAGGUUUAAAACUAGGGGGAAAUGUGUACCUUGUUAAUGGAGUUUUUGGUCAGGAAAUCACCGAAUCAGAAAUCGAUCGUGGAUGGAGAUGAAGCUUAUAUCUCAGUCAAGUUUUAAAACAGAUGUGUCGGUUUUGUGAGAAGAAAUCUGAAGUAUUUAGAAUUCCAUCAGUUUGUCUUCUCUUUGAGCUGGUUUGUUGAGGUUCAAAUAUUUUUAGAUUUCUCUAAAAGAUGAUAGCUCAAAAGGCUUGGUUCUUAUUGCUUUGUUUUGUUUUGUUUUUUCGAUUUUUGACGUUUUGUUUCUAUUCGUUUUCUUUUCUGGUACUGUUUUAGCCUUCUUGUCUUUGGUUUGGGCUUUGUUAGUUUCUAGACUUUGUAGGAUUUAUGUUUUUAAUACAACCGAG
rnacentral:lncRNA from 1 species